rnacentral:rRNA from 1 species
CGAGCGGCGACGGAUGGAGUAAUGCAUACGUAUCUGCCCGGCCGUGAGGGAUGGCCUAACUCAAACCCAAGCGUAGUACAGCAUACGUCCUACUUUAGAAAGGCAUCUCCCGCUCCCGCUAUUCGAUUACCCUAGGUCCUAUUAGCUAGUUCCUCAUCUAAUUACUCACCUAGGCAACUAUCCGUACCUCGUCUCAAAGAAUCAUCACCCACCUCAGAACUUAAACACCCCCCCAACUCCUACGACACGCACCAGUCUCCAAUAUUAGACAAUAGUAGCAACCCUUAUCCAACCAUCCCACGUCUGUCAAAAAAGCCCUCCGUUUGUAAAGCACUUUCUCCGAUCAAAAACCCCUAUCGGUUAAUACCCAUUAGUAAAAACAUCACUCGCAGAAAAAUCACCGGCUAACUCCCUGCCAGCAGCCGCUAUAAUACUGACGGUGCAAGCGUUAAUCCCAAUUACUCACCCUAUAUCCCGCGUACUUGGCUUUAUAACCCGCUUAUCAAAGCCCCUAUCUCAACCUUGCAACGGCAUCCGUAACUCUCAGGCUAGAGUACAAUAGAGUAAAAUAUAAUUCCCGGUGUAGCGGUCACAUUCCUACAGAUCACGAUCAAUACCGGUGGGGAAG